UACAGAGGGUGCAAGCGUUGUCCGGAAUCAUUGGGCGUAAAGAGCGCGUAGGCGGCCCUGUAAGUCCGCUGUGAAAGUCAAGGGCUCAACCCUUGGAUGCCGGUGGAUACUGCAGGGCUAGAGUCCGGAAGAGGCGAGUGGAAUUCCUGGUGUAGCGGUGAAAUGCGCAGAUAUCAGGAGGAACACCGAUGGCGAAGGCAGCUCGCUGGGACGGUACUGACGCUGAGGCGCGAAAGCAUGGGGAGCAAACAGG
rnacentral:rRNA from 1 species